rnacentral:rRNA from 1 species
AUACGGAGGGUGCAAGCGUUAUCCGGAUUUACUGGGUUUAAAGGGUGCGUAGGUGGGCAGUUAAGUCAGUGGUGAAAUCUCCGGGCUUAACCCGGAAACUGCCAUUGAUACUAUCUGUCUUGAAUAUUCUGGAGGUAAGCGGAAUAUGUCAUGUAGCGGUGAAAUGCUUAGAUAUGACAUAGAACACCAAUUGCGAAGGCAGCUUACUACGGGAUUAUUGACACUGAGGCACGAAAGCGUGGGGAUCAAACAGGAUUAGAUACCCUGGUAGUCCACGCCCUAAACGAUGGAUACUCGACAUCAGCGAUACACUGUUGGUGUCUGAGCGAAAGCAUUAAGUAUCCCACCUGGGAAGUACGACCGCAAGGUUGAA